GAUGAACGCUGGCGGCGUGCCUAAUACAUGCAAGUCGAGCGAACGGACGAGAAGCUUGCUUCUCUGAUGUUAGCGGCGGACGGGUGAGUAACACGUGGAUAACCUACCUAUAAGACUGGGAUAACUUCGGGAAACCGUAGCUAAUACCGAAAAUAUUUUGAACCGCAUGGGUUAAAAGUGAAAAACGGUCUUGCUGUUACUUAUAGAAGGAACCGCGCUGCAUUAGCUAGUUGGUAAGGUAACGGCUUACCAAGGCAACGAUGCAUAGCCGACCUGAGAGGGUGAUCGGCCACACUGGAACUGAGACACGGUCCAGACUCCUACGGGAGGCAGCAGUAGGGAAUCUUCCGCAAUGGGCGAAAGCCUGACGGAGCAACGCCGCGUGAGUGGUGAAGGUCUUCGGAUCGUAAAACUCUGUUAUUAGGGAAGAACAUAUGUGUAAGUAACUGUGCACAUCUUGACGGUACCUAAUCAGAAAGCCACGGCUAACUACGUG
rnacentral:rRNA from 1 species